UCUUUUCCGCGCUACCUGCAGAGGGGUCCAUACGGCGUUGUUCUGGGUGAGUUCCGUGUAGCGUCCCUGGCGCCUUCCAGGGCUAGAAAAAUGAGCUUUUCCUGCUCAAAUGAAGGAUUCCCGUCGUAACUUAAAGGGAAACUUUCACAAUGUCCGGAGCCCUUGAUGUCCUGCAAAUGAAGGAGGAGGAUGUCCUUAAGUUCCUUGCAGCAGGAACCCACUUAGGUGGCACCAAUCUUGACUUCCAGAUGGAACAGUACAUCUAUAAAAGGAAAAGUGAUGGUUAGUCAUUGCUUUAAUUUUUUGUUACUCCAGCUGUAAGUACAAAUUUUGAGCUUGCUAUUCUCGUGGUUAGUUCUGGGUAAUUUCUUUCUAUCUUCCUUAAAUGAAGCCAGACCCCUACGUUGAAAACAUACUUUAAAUAAAUGUUCUUGUUAUUGGGAGAAAAGAUUUCUGCUCCAGGGGAGGAAUAUGUCAGUUGUCUGAGUUACGGGACUUGGGUUGGGUCAUGAACAUGAGAAAGUUCAUUGGCUGAGUUUCUAAUAGCUCGCAUAGUGCCUUCAACUUCAUAG
rnacentral:sRNA from 1 species